AUUGAACGCUGGCGGCAUGCCUUACACAUGCAAGUCGAACGGUAACGCGGGGGCAACCCUGGCGACGAGUGGCGAACGGGUGAGUAAUACAUCGGAACGUACCCAGUAGUGGGGGAUAGCCCGGCGGAAGCCGGAUUAAUACCGCAUACGCACUACGGUGGAAAGCGGGGGACCGCAAGGCCUCGCGCUACUGGAGCGGCCGAUGGCAGAUUAGCUAGUUGGUGGGGUAAAAGCCUACCAAGGCGACGAUCUGUAGCUGGUCUGAGAGGACGACCAGCCACACUGGGACUGAGACACGGCCCAGACUCCUACGGGAGGCAGCAGUGGGGAAUUUUGGACAAUGGGGGAAACCCUGACCCAGCGAUGCCGCGUGUGUGAAGAAGGCCUUCGGGUUGUAAAGCACUUUUGUCCGGAAAGAAAUCCGUCGGGCUAAUACCCUGACGGGAUGACGGUACCGGAAGAAUAAGCACCGGCUAACUACGUGCCAGCAGCCGCCGUAA
rnacentral:rRNA from 1 species